GCAAUUUUAGUGCCGCUCAGGAUUUUUGGGUUUUUUGGAAUCCUUAGCGGCACUUCUAUGUAAUGCUGUGCUAUGGCAGGCCGUAUCAAUUACCAUCAGCUGAACGCCUUGGUCUUUUCGUCCCAUAUCUCAUAAAAUCAAUACAUAAGAAAGUAUAUUUACAAUCUAUAUUAAUAUUAAAAAGAGGUUGUAGGGGUUAGUUAGCAAUAGAAACCCACAUUAUUUCAGAGUGUAACAGGCUAUUUAUAAGCCUGAAAAAUGAAAUAACCAUUUCGUGGUAGGCGCAUUUGAAAAAUAAGUCGGGGACAAAACCCUCGAAAAAAAACGCUUCUUACGAAUGCUGCCUUAACGGCACUGACCUCUACUAUAUACCACUGGACUGGCGUCUGUCAAAGUGCUUUUGUGCCUGUUUGAUAUUCGCCAUUUGGGCGCUAUUGGCAAUGUAGCGAGAGUCUGCAGUACUAAAACUAGUGAUGAAAACCUCAGCUAAACAAAUAUCGAUAGGAAAACUAUUUAUAAAAAUAUGUGUACCUUAUAACGUUGAUUCCUGAAGUAUAAAUAACACGGAAAACGACCUAAAUUAAUUCAAAAUGCAAAAAUACUACAGAGUAUUGUACGUUUCUCGCGCAGCCAUUUGUAUUAUACGUCAAAAUUAGUUCUCUGGACGCUCGAGAGUGGCGCUUCAAAUAGGCACAAAAAAUUUGCUUUUAAACUUAAGGAACAACCUGUCCAGUGGUAUUUAUACAGGUCAGGGCUUAAUGGUGAGAGAUAUAAUAUGUUUUUGUUCUGUCGCCGUUGUCUUUGCUUGUUCAUUAGUUGAGUUAAUUUUCGACGUAGAGGUCUCUGUUGCCUAUGGGAGCAAUAAAAUAAACAUAAGCUUACUCGGCUUGUUAGCAUUGUGAUUGGCCGCCAUGACAGCCGUUAAUUCAAUAGCGUCAGGCGGCUAAUCGUGCAAACUAAAGAGUUAGAAUAUACUCUCGUAUAGAUGACUCGACAGCCCGUUAAUGCGAGACCAAUCAUAUUUGGCAAUCCGGCUAGGUUAUGGGUACCACAACGGCGCCUAUUUCUGCCGUGAAGCAGUAAUGUGUAACAUUACUGUGUUUCAGUCUGAAGUGCGCCGUAGCUUGUGAAAUUACCGGGCAAAUGAGACUUAACAUCUCAUGCCUCAAAGUGACGAGCGCAAUUGUAGUGUCGCUUAGAAUUUUUUGGUUUUUCAGGAAUCCUGAGCGUCACUGCAUUGUAAUGGGCAGGGCGUUUCAAUUACUAUGAGCUAAACGUCCUGCUCGUCUCGUCUCUAAUUAUCACAAAAAAAGCUAAUGCCAAGCGUGGCUGACUGUUUACCACUUGUCAAUCAAAAUGGGUUACAGAUACGUCCUUCUCUCUCGCACGCUUCGUUUGUCUAUACGCUAGUGUAUUGUAAGUCUGUGGCUCAAACGUCCUAACCGCUAGUGAGGUUUUAGUAAAAUUUGUUCAAUAAUUAUUAUAGAAUUAAAUAGAAAUGCAAAAUUUGUAUAUUAAUCAUUAUUAAUGUUUUAAAUUGUAAAUUAGAAUAGUAAAUGAUAUGUUAAUUACGACUUUUACAUUCAAUAUGGUUUAAUUGAUAAUGUUUAUAAUAAUUUUAGUAUUUAAUUAAUGAUUAAAUAUUUAUCUACAUAAA